rnacentral:ncRNA from 2 species
GGCCCCCACAUGUAUGCUCGUGCUCGCUGUCGCCGCAGGGGAAUCCGGUGCGAAUCCGGAACUGUCCCGCAACGGUGUAAUCGGUGUGCUUUCGCGCACCCGACAAGUCCGAGGACCUGCCGACAGCGCAUCCGGCUC